rnacentral:rRNA from 1 species
AACGAACGCUGGCGGCAGGCUUAACACAUGCAAGUCGAGCGCUCGCGAGCAAUCGCGGGAGCGGCAGACGGGUGAGUAACGCGUGGGAACGUACCCUCCGGUUCGGAAUAACUCAGGGAAACUUGAGCUAAUGCCGGAUACGGCUGUGAGGCGAAAGAUUUAUCGCCGGGGGAUCGGCCCGCGUCCGAUUAGCUAGUUGGUGGGGUAACGGCUCACCAAGGCGACGAUCGGUAGCUGGUCUGAGAGGAUGAUCAGCCACAUUGGGACUGAGACACGGCCCAAACUCCUACGGGAGGCAGCAGUGGGGAAUAUUGGACAAUGGGCGCAAGCCUGAUCCAGCCAUGCCGCGUGAGUGAUGACGGCCUUAGGGUUGUAAAGCUCUUUCGCCAGGGACGAUAAUGACGGUACCUGGAUAAGAAGCCCCGGCUAACUUCGUGCCAGCAGCCGCGGUAAUACGAAGGGGGCUAGCGUUGUUCGGAAUUACUGGGCGUAAAGCGCGUGUAGGCGGGUCUUUAAGUCAGGGGUGAAAUGCCAAGGCUCAACCUUGGAACUGCCUUUGAUACUGGGGAUCUUGAGUCCGGGAGAGGUGAGUGGAACUGCGAGUGUAGAGGUGAAAUUCGUAGAUAUUCGCAAGAACACCAGUGGCGAAGGCGGCUCACUGGCCCGGAACUGACGCUGAGACGCGAAAGCGUGGGGAGCAAACAGGAUUAGAUACCCUGGUAGUCCACGCCGUAAACGAUGGAUGCUAGCCGUCAGACAGCUUGCUGUUUAGUGGCGCAGUUAACGCUUUAAGCAUCCCGCCUGGGGAGUACGGUCGCAAGAUUA